UGGGGAAUCUUGGACAAUGGGCGCAAGCCUGAUCCAGCCAUGCCGCGUGAGUGACGAAGGUCUUCGGAUUGUAAAGCUCUUUUUGGCGGGGACGAUAAUGACGGUACCCGCAGAAUAAGCCCCGGCUAACUUCGUGCCAGCAGCCGCGGUAAUACGAAGGGGGCUAGCGUUGUUCGGAAUUACUGGGCGUAAAGCGCACGUAGGCGGAUUUGUAAGUCAGGGGUGAAAUCCCGGGGCUCAACCUCGGAACUGCCCUUGAUACUGCAAAUCUCGAGUCCGAUAGAGGUGAGUGGAAUUCCUAGUGUAGAGGUGAAAUUCGUAGAUAUUAGGAAGAACACCAGUGGCGAAGGCGGCUCACUGGAUCGGUACUGACGCUGAGGUGCGAAAGCGUGGGGAGCAAACAGGAUUAGAUACCCCCGUAGUCCCUGAGCGGGCUGGCAAGGCGCAU
rnacentral:rRNA from 1 species